UGGGGAAUAUUGGACAAUGGGCGAAGGCCUGAUCCAGCCAUGCCGCGUGUGUGAAGAAGGCCUUUUGGUUGUAAAGCACUUUAAGUGGGGAGGAAAAGCUUAUGGUUAAUACCCAUAAGCCCUGACGUUACCCACAGAAUAAGCACCGGCUAACUCUGUGCCAGCAGCCGCGGUAAUACAGAGGGUGCAAGCGUUAAUCGGAAUUACUGGGCGUAAAGCGCGCGUAGGUGGUUAUUUAAGUCAGAUGUGAAAGCCCCGGGCUUAACCUGGGAACUGCAUCUGAUACUGGAUAACUAGAGUAGGUGAGAGGGGAGUAGAAUUCCAGGUGUAGCGGUGAAAUGCGUAGAGAUCUGGAGGAAUACCGAUGGCGAAGGCAGCUCCCUGGCAUCAUACUGACACUGAGGUGCGAAAGCGUGGGUAGCAAACGGGAUUAGAUACCCUGGUAGUCCACGCCGUAAACGAUGUCUACCAGUCGUUGGGUCUUUUAAAGACUUAGUGACGCAGUUAACGCAAUAAGUAGACCGCCUGGGGAGUACGGCCGCAAGGUUA
rnacentral:rRNA from 1 species